GACGAACGCUGGCGGCGUGCCUAAUACAUGCAAGUAGAACGCUGAAGCGAGGAGCUUGCUCUUCUUGGAUGAGUUGCGAACGGGUGAGUAACGCGUAGGUAACCUGCCUUGUAGCGGGGGAUAACUAUUGGAAACGAUAGCUAAUACCGCAUAACAAUGGAUGACACAUGUCAUUUAUUUGAAAGGGGCAAUUGUUCCACUACAAGAUGGACCUGCGUUGUAUUAGCUAGUAGGUGAGGUAAUGGCUCACCUAGGCGACGAUACAUAGCCGACCUGAGAGGGUGAUCGGCCACACUGGGACUGAGACACGGCCCAGACUCCUACGGGAGGCAGCAGUAGGGAAUCUUCGGCAAUGGGGGCAACCCUGACCGAGCAACGCCGCGUGAGUGAAGAAGGGUGUCGGAUCGUAAAGCUCUGUUGUAAGUCAAGAACGGGUGUGAGAGUGGAAAGUUCACACUGUGACGGUAGCUUACCAGAAAGGGACGGCUAACUACGUG
rnacentral:rRNA from 1 species